rnacentral:sRNA from 1 species
CUUUAGCCCCCGAUAGAAGUGGAAAUCCUUGUGAGUCUCGUUUUUUCAACGAGACUUAUAAGAUUGCAACGUAUAGCGGGACCCAUG